AGAAUCCUUCUGUUUUUCCCCUUGUUGUGGUGUGUAGCAUUCUGCUGGUGCUUUGCCGUAAUAUUUGUAACUGGGGAAGCGGGAAUAAUAGCUCCUGGAGAUGGUGAGGCAUCAAACUGGAACACUUCCUUGCACAUGCCAGAACUUAACAUUGGCCCAGCAAGGCCUUCAUGGAACCACUGUUGGAGUUUACCAUCAGCUGCAGAUGACUUUUUAUCCUUUGGAGUAUCAGAAGAAGCAGAAGUAAGGGCCUUCUGUGGCUCUUUAGCAGUCGGAUAUAAGUGAGAAUGCCUCCCUCUAUUGGUUCCAACAUCAGGGAAGGCAAGGGCUGGAAAUAAGUCUAUUGGGAUUGCCAAACCCGUCUCCUUAUUUUUAUUUACUUCAGGAUCCUCAUGUGAGGCCAUAGCUGCCUCACUGGCCAGAACAGAAUGAAUUAUCAAGUUACCAUCAAUCUUGACAAGCUCAUCAUUCCUUGGCACAAACAAAGAUGCUGCAAGCGGCUUAUUACUAGCAUUAGCAAGUUGGGUAAAUUUGUCUGAGUCUGGUAGAUGCUCCAAGCCUCCUUUCAUCUCCACAUCAUACGCCAAACAUCCAUCACUGCCUCUCCCACACUGUAUUCUACUACCAACAUGUAAAUUCCCAUUAGAAAACUCAACAGCCAUACUCUCAUGGGACUCAUUUGAAUGCCCGUGAGCUCCAAAGACCCUGCCUCUCUGCUGAUCAUAAAACUUCUCACUAACAAAACCGAACCCAUUAGCACCAUUCUCCUUGACUCCUCCAAACUUAACAUUCACAAUUGGCACCAAUCCACCAAA
rnacentral:misc_RNA from 1 species